rnacentral:rRNA from 1 species
UACAGAGGUCUCAAGCGUUGUUCGGAUUCAUUGGGCGUAAAGGGUGCGUAGGUGGCGCCAUAAGUCAGGUGUGAAAUCUCGGGGCUUAACUCCGAAACUGCAUUUGAUACUGUGGUGCUUGAGGACUGGAGAGGAGACUGGAAUUCACGGUGUAGCAGUGAAAUGCGUAGAGAUCGUGAGGAAGACCAGUGGCGAAGGCGGGUCUCUGGACAGUUCCUGACACUGAGGUGCGAAAGCGUGGGGAGCGAACAGG